AGAGUUUGAUCAUGGCUCAGGAUGAACGCUGGCGAGAUGCCUUACACAUGCAAGUCAUACGAGAAUUUUUAAUUCAAGUGGCGGACGGGUGAGUAACACGUAAGAAUUUGCCUUUAGGAGGGGGACAACAACUGGAAACGGUUGCUAAUACCCCAUAUGCUUUCGAGUGAAACGGAAUUUUCCGCCUAAAGAGAAGCUUGCGGCUGAUUAGCUUGUUGGUGAGGUAAUGGCUUACCAAGGCGACGAUCAGUAUCUGGUUUGAGAGGAUGAUCAGACACACUGGAACUGAGACACGGUCCAGACUCCUACGGGAGGCAGCAGUGGGGAAUUUUCCGCAAUGGGCGAAAGCCUGACGGAGCAAUCUCGCGUGAGGGAUGACGGCCUAUGGGUUGUAAACCUCUUUUUUCAGGGAGGAAUAAAUGACGUGUACCUGAAGAAUAAGCAUCGGCUAACUCCGUGCCAGCAGCCGCGGUAAGACGGAGGAUGCAAGUGUUAUCCGGAAUCACUGGGCGUAAAGCGUCUGUAGGUGGUUUGAUAAGUCAACUGUUAAAUCUUGAAGCUCAACUUCAAAAUCGCAGUCGAAACUAUCAGACUAGAGUAUAGUAGGGGUAAAGGG
rnacentral:rRNA from 1 species